rnacentral:lncRNA from 1 species
AUUUAAAAAAUAAGCUUUGUAGAGAGUGUAUAAUAUAUUUGUAAGGUACUAUUGCCUUCUCUAGCAUUUUUAGUAAAAAAAAAAAAAAAAUUCCUUAACUAUCUUCUUAAAAAAUAUUUCUAUCUAACUCUAUUUUUAUAAUUAGAAAAAAAUAAGUAAUAUUUUAUAUAGAUAGAAUAUAUUAAUGUGGGAGAGUUUAUCUUUUUUCUCUCCUCCUAUUUCCAAAUAUUCUCCUCUUUUCUCUCUCUCUCUCCUUCAUCUCCUCCAACACAUGUAUCUCUUUCUUUUCAUUCUCAGUCUCAGGCACCUUUUCUCUCCUCACCACCAACACAUGCACUUUCUCUCUCCCACCUAACACUCUCUCCUCUCUCUCUUCUUCAAUAUAUAAUAAUAAUUUUAUUAUAAUAUAUAAUAAAAAUUUAUUAUUUAAUAGAUAAAUAGAUUGUACUAUUUAUUAAAAAAUUUUUUUUUGUUUUAUUACUAUAUUAAUCAAAUGUACUAAUAUUUAUUUGCUCUAUAUAUUAUAUAUUAUUUAUAUAUUAUUAUAAUAUAUAUAAGGUAGGGUUACGUAGUAUUUUUAAUGAAUAUAGAGCCCCUUUCGGGUAUCCAUAAGUUUUCAUCCGUUAGUAUGAAUAAAAUAUGUGUGGGAUGAAAGGGUUACGUUAUGGUUGAUAAGGGAUCCUAGGCGUUUGAGUUGUUGGUUGGUUGAAUAGUAUAAUCUAACGAGUGAAAAUGGUUAAAGGAUAGAUCUAAUGGUCAAAAACUUAUAAGUACAAGAGGCUCUAUACUCAUAAGAGUAUAGUAGCCGGACUCAUAUAUAUAUAUAUAUAUAUAUAUAUAUAUAUAUAUAUAUAAUAUUAUUAAACAUUCGAUAAAAAUACACACUCAAAAUAUGUUAUGAUUAUACAUUAUAUUACAUAAAAAUAAAAGUGAUAUAACUAUAUAUUAGAUAUGAUAUAAAGUUGAUUAUGUUUGACAUAAUAUUUGAUUUGACUACACAUUUGACAUGAUAUAAAAAUAAUACGAUUAUAUAUUAUAUAAAAAUAAAAAUAAUAUAACUGUACAUUAAAUAUGAUAUAAAGUUGACUACACUGAUAUAAAAUUUGGCUUGACUAUACACUGAAUUUAAUUAUAAAACUGACAUGACCAUAUUUAACAUAAAGUUGAUUAUUUUAUAUUAACAUUUGACUUGACUACAUAUUUGAUAUGAAAUAAAAAUAAUACGACUAUUCAUUAUGCAAAAAUAAAAUGGAUAUAACUACAAAUUAGAUAUGAUAUAAAGUUGACUAUACUUGAUAUAAAAUUUGACUUGACUACACAAUUAAUUUAAUCAUAAAAUUGACAUGACUAUAUUGACAUUAAAGUUGACUAUACUUGAUAUAAAUUUUUAUUUAACUAUAUAAUUGACAUAAUUAUAGAGUUGAUAUGACAAUACAUUGCGUAAAACUCUAGAGAUGCUACGACUAUAACCUACAAAUUUUUAUUUUAAUAUUUAAAAAAUCAAACUUCACUAUAAAUAGUUAAACUUUGUUAAUUCCAACCCCACUAUCAUCCUUCUCUUCUUUAUACACUAUACAAGGUAGCGUUUGGUUCGGGAACAAAGGGGGGAAUAAGCUCUUGUUCCCCCUUUUGUUCCCAAACGGUAUGUUUGGUUCCCGGGAACAGUAGUUUCCGGAAAUCUGAAACAAGCUGGUAUACGGCUGGAACUCCUGUUCCAUCUGUUUCCUGGAACAAGCUUGUUCCUUAAUGAGAAUAAGAUUAAAUAAAAUCUAAAUUUAAUUUUAAUGACAGUAAAUUAUUAAUUAAUCUAAUUAAUAUAUUUAAAUCAGUAUUUAUUGCUUUAAUAAUUAAAUAAUUAAAUAAUUUAUUAUUUAUAAUUAAUGAUUAAUAAUUAGAUAAUUAUUAUUAUUAAUUUAUUAUUUAUAACUAAUUAUUAAUAAUUAAUAUUCAUGAUUAUUUAUUAAUAAUUAUUAAUAAUUAUUAUUCUUAAUGAUAAUCGAUAUUAUUAUUAAUUUAUUAUUUAUAAUUAAUUAUUAAUAAUUAAUAAUAAUUAUUAUUAUUUGUUAAUAAUUAUUAAUAAUUAUUAUUCUUAAUAAUUAGAUAAUCGAUAUUAUUAUUAAUUUAUUAUUUAAAAUAAUUAUUUAAUAAUUAUUAUUAUUUAUUAAUAAUAUUAAUAUAAUUAUUAUAAAUAAUUAGAUAAUCAAUAUUAUUAUUAUUUUAUUAUUUAUAAUUAAUUAUAUGAUAAUAAUAAUUCCUUUUAUUUAUUAAAAUUAUUAUUAAUGAUAACUAUUAUUAUUAAUUAGAUAAUCAAUAUUUUAUUUUAUAUUUUAAUUAUUAUUAAAUAAUAUAAUAUUAUUAUUUAUAAUUAAUUAUUAAUAAUUAAUUUUUUAUUUAUUUUUAAGUAAUAUUUUGAUGUUAACUAAUUACAUAAUAUAAUUUUAAUUUCAAAUUAUAACUAUUAUUCCUCUCGUUCCAAUCUAACCAUCCAAACACUAUUUACCAUAUUCCUAGGAACAACUCAAUUUUCAUCCAAACGCAAAAUUGGUCUAGUUCCUGCUUAUACCUGAACUUGUACCUAUCCCUGGAACUAGCAAUUCUUACUUAUACAUGAACCAAAUGCAGCCAUUACUCAUCUCUCUUCCACUUCUCUAAUUUUCACUACAUAUCUUAUUUAUAUAAUCUAAAGGGUUCCAAAAGUACCAGUAGUAAGUAAUAAUAAAAAAUUUAUAAUUUAGUAACAAUACUAUUAUUAUUAUUAAUAAAUAAAUAUUUUAUUAAUAUUAUAAUAAAAAUUAAUUAUUAUUAAUAUUGAAGAGAGAGAGAGAUAGAGGUGUGGUUGGGGAGGAGAGAGAGAGGAAGAGAGUGAGAAGAUGUCUUGGGAAAUGUGAGAGCAGAGAGAAAAAGACAAUCUCCCCCACUUAACAAAUUAAUCUAUAUAAAAGUUAUUAACUUUUUUUUUUUUUCUAACCUAUAAAAAUGACACUAAAUUAGAAAUAUUUUUUGAAAAAAAGGCUAGAUAGUUUUUUUUUUUUUUUUUUUCUAAAGAGGCCAGGGAAGGCAAUAGUUUAUAUAUAAGUUAUAUAGAGUCGAAUAUGAAUUAGGAGUCUAUCAAAUAUACUCUUAUGGGUACGAUCGCUCUCGUACUCAUAAAUUGCUUUGGAUGAUAGAGCUUCCGAAUCAACGAUCAACACCGUUAAACGCUAUCUAUAGCAUUUAAAACGUCUAGAAAUCAAAUUUUAUAAUUUUUUGACAUUAUUUACCUUACGAUCAAAAGGUCACAAAAUUAAUAAUUUUUAACGGCCGGUAUGAAAUAUUUGCUAGUUUAACGGUAUAAAAAAAUCGAAAUCGAUUGAAUUUUUGAUAGAAAAUUCUAUUUACUACAUAUAUAAAGAUCAAUAACUCCGAUCUUAAAUUGAGGAUCUGAUCAUUCAUUUUUAAGACGUCGUUUGAUUUUGACCGUUUAUUUUAUACCCGCUUGAUGAACUUUAUUAUAAUUUCGAAAAAUUACGAAAUUUAUUUUCUAAAAGUUUCAAAUACUCUAUAUCAUAUUAACAGAGUGGAUCGUCGAUUAGGAAGCUCCAUCAUCGAAAACAAUUUAUGAAUAUAAAGAGCUCUAUACUUAUAAGAAUAUAAUAGUCCUAGUCUAUAAAUUUGUUGAUCUCAGUUUAUGUUCGACCCGUUUAUUUUAUUGUUUUCGUAUUAAUUAAUAAUAAUACCGUUGAAAGCUUUAUACGUGGGCCCCGCACACGUGUAACCCACUCGGGAUACGCACGUGCUACACCGCACACCCGAUUCCCCUGUUUGACUCCUCGUAAAAGAUUCAUGGAAUUUUUUUUCUUUUUUUUUGGGUUUCACCGUGUUUGUAUUUUCAAAAAAAAAAAAAAGAAAAAAAUAAAAAUAAUAGCUUUUUAAAACCUUUAGGAAAAAAAAUUCUAUAAAAAAAUUUGCUUUUUUAUUUUCAGAUUCCCACUUUUGGUUGCACCCUGUUUUCUGUUUUCUACCUGCUUAGCUUUAAAAAUAAUUAAUUUUUUUCAUUUUUUAGAUUUCAUAAAGAGUUAAUAUUUUUAUUUUUUGAAAAGAGAAUUAGAAACCAAAAGAAAUAAUUUUUCACGAAAUCUAAAAAACAACAAAGCUAUUUUUAAAAAAAAGGAUAAACUUCAAAUACCAUUCUUGUGGUUUCGCAUUUUCUCACUUUAAUUUAUGUACUUUAAAGUGUAUCAAAUUACUGGUUUUUGGUUUUAUUUUUUAACUUUUCGAUAGUUUCUCCGUCAAUAUUUCGUUAAAUUUUAUACAAAAAACUUCAGAUACUCCACAUAACUUUAUCGAAUAUUCACUUUAGUACUUUUUAGUUUUAACUUUGUCACUAAUUUAACGAAAAAAAAUUAGUGAAAUAAAUAAUAAAAAAAGAAAAAUAAAAUUACUGGGUACUAAAUUGAUAUACUUUAAACGACAUGGUACUAAAGUGAAAAAGUACGAAACCAAAUGAUUCUUAUUCCAAGUUUUUCCUUUUUUAUCUAUUAUUACAAACCAUUCCCAACAUGUACAUCCAAAAACCCCUUUUAUAUAAAACCUGCUCUCUUAAUUUGCACAUCAUUCUCUCUUUCUCUUCUUCAUUUCUUAUUUCUUAGUUCUAAGUUCUAAGAACAGCGACGGCGGCGUCGACGACGGUACAGAAAAGAAAGAAAAAAAGAAACAGAAAAGAGUCAGAUAAAAGAGAUUAGAGAGACAGACAGAGAUUGAUUCGACCGCGAUUUGAAUUCAAACCCAACUCAAUACAGUAUACGAAAAGGGUCAGAUCCUCUUUUUUUUUUUUACCUUUUUAUUUUCUCAUGAAAAAAUUAUUACAUGCGUGUACACUUGUAAGUAAAAUUUUAUUUAGGAUGUGAAAAAUAAAAUGAAUACGAUAAACAAUUUGUCAACUUUUAUAGAAAAAACUUAAAAUACCACUCCUGUGAUUUCGCACUUUUUCACUUUCGCACCCUGUGAUUUUAUUUUUCUCUCAUUAUUAUUCUUUUCGCUAAUUUUUUUUUCAUUAAAUCAGUAAUAAAAUUAAAACUAAAGAAUACUAAAAUAAAUAUUUGAUAAAAAUAGGUGGGAUAUCUGAAGUUUUUUGUAUACGAUUUAACGAAAUGUUAAUAGUGGAACUGACAAAAAGAAAAAAAUAAAAUCAUGAUACAUUUUAAAUUUUAUGAUACUAAAGUGAGAAAGUACGAAACUACAGAGCUAGUAUUUGAAGUUCACCCUUUUUUAUAUGUUUAUAGCAGAUGUCGUAUAGUAAAUGAUUUUUAAAUAUAUUUUUAUAA